UCGCUUCAGCAGCAAACAGACCAAAACGGGAGUGACACAGAGAAGAUUAGCAUGGCCCUGCACAAGGAUGACACACAAAUUCAUGAAGCAUUCCAUAUUUUG